rnacentral:lncRNA from 13 species
GUGCCUCAGGGGCUGCAUCCUGAUAGGGAUCAGACACCACUGGAAUUCUCUCCAAUAAAAGCUUACUUCAGGAAUUGAACCUAUACCCAGCUGAAGAGUAACUCAUUUAUAACCUGGCAGGAUCCACAAUUGCACCAGCCCCUCCACCAAGUAAGACAAUAAGAUCUGCAUUUCAGAUCCUUUCUUUAAAAACCCCUGGGUUCCCCCUACAAAUUGAAGAGUGGAAUUGUUUGCUGCCCUUCCCCUGCUAGCAUGGAAGCUAGCAGAUUUUUCUUUAUUAUCGGUUCUUUCUACAAGCCGCAAGCAGCCAGACGUUUUUGCAGGUUACAGGCUGACACAUCCAGUUCCUUAGAAAAAAACAUUUAAUAAGGGCUUAUAAACAGAAACCACAUCUGUGUCUCCCUGUGGUUUCCCAUGCUUCUCCCUCAGGCCCAGAGCUUGCAGACCAUAGGGGAAUGGUCAUUCAGAAGGGAUGUGCAGGACAGUUGAAGUAUAACAUCAAGGUUGUUUGACCUAAGGGCUGGAUUUACAGUAGGUGCUUGCUCUCAUACAAGGAGCAAUAGAUAACCUGGGAAUCUCAGGGGCCUUCUGGGAGGCUCAGAAGCCAACUUAGCUGAAACAGUGGAUUCACAUCCAACAUGGAGUUGGCUUUAGCCUCCACAAGGACUUCUUCCAACCUCUUUUGGGGCCCCUCGCUUGCUUGAAAUCUGAUGUUCAGACCAAUUUUUGUAUUGGGUAAUAGCACUACUGGAGUACUGGGUAACACCUCAGCCCAUCCUCAGUCUCUCACACCUCUGUGUCACUUGGCUCAUAUGAGGCCAUCUCCAGGUGGACCAAAGAUGAGAGGAUAUGGGAGAUAGACUGUCCAUCACUUUUUCCUGGAGACUGACACCUGCUUCAAAGCGUGUGUGUGUGUGUGUGUGUGUGUGUGUGUGUAUGUGUGUGUAUGUGUGUGCAUGCACUUGCAGUCAUAUACGAUUUGCAGUGGCCAGUCUGUGGAUUUGGAUUUCAUUAUGCUGUUGAGCAUGUGUCUGUGAGUCUGUUUGCCAGGUGCAUAUGUGUGCUUGGGACUGUGUGGGCAUCCCUGGAGCCCUGUGCUUGUUCUUGGAGAAGCCCAAAGAAGAGGGGCUCAGGACAUUUCUGGCUGGCAACACCCCACCUCCAGGCCUGCUACCCCACCUCCCCGACCACACCCCAUCCUGCCUAUAUUGUAGUUUGUACUUUCAUUUGGUGGUUCCUGUUCCUGUGCUCUUGUCCAGUGUUCAAGAAGAAUGAGGAUUCGCUGACAGUUGAAGGGACAGAGCCAGGAUUUGAAUGCAAGCUAUUCCAAUGUAUCCUGCUGCCUCGUGGAGAGCACCCAGAAUAGGAGUAAUGUUAGGUAUGUGAUUACUAUACUUUAAAAGGAAGAAAAAUAACCACGGAAUUCACAUGUUUAUUUUGUUGUGUAUUCAGUAUUCUGAAAAGUCCACACUAAGUUUCUGUGAAUUCUAGUAUUCAUGCCAGUAGAGAGACUUAGGAAGCAAUUUUUAUAGCAUCUGCUCUUUUUAAAAUUUUUCUUCAUUUUUAUUGAUUGAUUGAUUGAGACAAGGUUUUACUCUAUCAUCCAGGCUGGAGUGCAGUGGCAUGAUCUUGGCUCACUGCAGCCUCCACCUCUCAGGCUCAAGCGAUCCUCCCAUCUCAGCUUCUUGAGUAG